rnacentral:rRNA from 1 species
AGAGUUUGAUCAUGGCUCAGAUUGAACGCUGGCGGCAGGCCUAACACAUGCAAGUCGAGCGGAUGAAGGGAGCUUGCUCCCUGAUUCAGCGGCGGACGGGUGAGUAAUGCCUAGGAAUCUGCCUAUUAGUGGGGGACAACGUUUCGAAAGGAACGCUAAUACCGCAUACGUCCUACGGGAGAAAGCAGGGGACCUUCGGGCCUUGCGCUAAUAGAUGAGCCUAGGUCGGAUUAGCUAGUUGGUGAGGUAAUGGCUCACCAAGGCGACGAUCCGUAACUGGUCUGAGAGGAUGAUCAGUCACACUGGAACUGAGACACGGUCCAGACUCCUACGGGAGGCAGCAGUGGGGAAUAUUGGACAAUGGGCGAAAGCCUGAUCCAGCCAUGCCGCGUGUGUGAAGAAGGUCUUCGGAUUGUAAAGCACUUUAAGUUGGGAGGAAGGGCAGUAAGCUAAUACCUUGCUGUUUUGACGUUACCGACAGAAUAAGCACCGGCUAACUCUGUGCCAGCAGCCGCGGUAAUACAGAGGGUGCAAGCGUUAAUCGGAAUUACUGGGCGUAAAGCGCGCGUAGGUGGUUUGUUAAGUUGGAUGUGAAAUCCCCGGGCUCAACCUGGGAACUGCAUCCAAAACUGGCAAGCUAGAGUAGGGCAGAGGGUGGUGGAAUUUCCUGUGUAGCGGUGAAAUGCGUAGAUAUAGGAAGGAACACCAGUGGCGAAGGCGACCACCUGG